AUUGAACGCUGGCGGCAGGCCUAACACAUGCAAGUCGAGCGGGGUUUUCGGACCUAGCGGCGGACGGGUGAGUAAUGCGUAGGAAGCUGCCCGAUAGAGGGGGAUACCAGUUGGAAACGACUGUUAAUACCGCAUAAUGUCUACGGACCAAAGUGUGGGACCUUCGGGCCACAUGCUAUCGGAUGCGCCUACGUGGGAUUAGCUAGUUGGUGAGGUAAUGGCUCACCAAGGCGACGAUCUCUAGCUGGUUUGAGGGGAUGAUCAGCCACACUGGAACUGAGACACGGUCCAGACUCCUACGGGAGGCAGCAGUGGGGAAUAUUGGACAAUGGGCGCAAGCCUGAUCCAGCCAUGCCGCGUGUGUGAAGAAGGCCUUCGGGUUGUAAAGCACUUUCAGCGAGGAGGAAGGGGUGUGUGUUAAUAGUACACACCUUUGACGUUACUCGCAGAAGAAGCACCGGCUAACUCUGUGCCAGCCGCCGCCGUAA
rnacentral:rRNA from 1 species